CUCAGAAUCAACGCUGGCGGCGUGCCUAACACAUGCAAGUCGAACGCGAAAGCCCCUUUCGGGGGGUUAGUAGAGUGGCGUCCGGGUGAGUAACACGUGGGUAAUCUGCCUUCGGGUGGGGAAUAACCCAGGGAAACUUGGGCUAAUACCGCAUAAUGCAGCGGCACCUAAUGGUGAUUAGUUGUUAAAGCGGGGGAUCGCAAGACCUCGCGCCUGAAGAGGAGCCUGCGGCAGAUUAGCUAGUUGGUGAGGUAAUGGCUCACCAAGGCUUCGAUCUGUAGCUGGUCUGAGAGGACGGCCAGCCACACUGGCACUGACACACGGGCCAGACUCCUACGGGAGGCAGCAGUGGGGAAUUUUGGGCAAUGGGCGAAAGCCUGACCCAGCAACACCGCGUGAGGGAGGAAAUCCUUCGGGAUGUAAACCUCACAAGCAAGGGAAGAGAGCUGCGGGCUGAAUAAUCCCGUAGUGCGACGGUACCUUGCGUAAGCCACGGCUAACUACGUGCCAGCAGCCGCGGUAAUACGUAGGUGGCAAGCGUUGUUCGGAAUUAUUGGG
rnacentral:rRNA from 1 species